rnacentral:rRNA from 1 species
AUCCGUCGAGCACGCGUAGCACUUACCUGGUCUUGACAUCCACGGAAGUUUUCAGAGAUGAGAAUGUGCCUUCGGGAACCGUGAGACAGGUGCUGCAUGGCUGUCGUCAGCUCGUGUUGUGAAAUGUUGGGUUAAGUCCCGCAACGAGCGCAACCCUUAUCCUUUGUUGCCAGCGGUCCGGCCGGGAACUCAAAGGAGACUGCCAGUGAUAAACUGGAGGAAGGUGGGGAUGACGUCAAGUCAUCAUGGCCCUUACGACCAGGGCUACACACGUGCUACAAUGGCGCAUACAAAGAGAAGCGACCUCGCGAGAGCAAGCGGACCUCAUAAAGUGCGUCGUAGUCCGGAUUGGAGUCUGCAACUCGACUCCAUGAAGUCGGAAUCGCUAGUAAUCGUGGAUCAGAAUGCCACGGUGAAUACGUUCCCGGGCAA